ACUCCUACGGGAGGCAGCAGUGGGAAUAUUGGACAAUGGGGGCACCCUGAUCCAGCAAUACCGCGUGUGUGAAGAAGGCCUUCGGGUUGUAAAGCACUUUCAGUUGGGAGGAAGGCUGAUUAUCGAAUAGGUAGUCAGAUUGACGUUACCAACAGAAGAAGCACCGGCUAACUCUGUGCCAGCAGCCGCGGUAAUACAGAGGGUGCAAGCGUUAAUCGGAAUUACUGGGCGUAAAGGGCGCGUAGGUUGUUUGUUAAGUUAGAUGUGAAAUAUCCGGGCUCAACCUGGACAUGUCAUCUAAAAACUGGCAGACUAGAGUGCAGUAGAGGAAGUGGAAUUUCCGGUGUAGCGGUGAAAAUGCGUAGAU
rnacentral:rRNA from 1 species